rnacentral:rRNA from 1 species
GAUGAACGCUGGCGGCGUGCCUAAUACAUGCAAGUAGAACGCUGAAGGAAGGAGCUUGCUCUUUCCGGAUGAGUUGCGCACGGGUGAGUAACGCGUAGGUAACCUGCCUGGUAGCGGGGGAUAACUAUUGGAAACGAUAGCUAAUACCGCAUAACAGUAGAUUUUGCAUGAUAUCUACUUAAAAGGUGCAAUUGCACCACUACCAGAUGGACCUGCGUUGUAUUAGCUAGUUGGUGAGGUAACGGCUCACCAAGGCGAAGAUACAUAGCCGACCUGAGAGGGUGGUCGGCCACACUGGGACUGUGACACGGCCCAGACUCCUACGGGAGGCAGCCGUAGGGCAUCUUCGGCAAUGGACGGAAGUCUGACCGAGCAACGCCGCGUGAGUGUAGAAGGUUUUCGGAUCGUAAAGCUCGGUUGUAAGAGAAGAACGAGUGUGAGAGUGGAAAGUUCACACUGUGACGGUAUCUUACCAGAAAGGGACGGCUAACUACGUG